rnacentral:lncRNA from 1 species
UUUGUGGAGCUGGAAUUCAUCGGAAGUUCUACAGUGCUUGCGCCAGAGAAACGUCGGUGCCUCUGUACCUGUUAGACGAAGGAGCGUUUGCCAAGUCUUGAAAGGUAGACAUCAGUGACGGUGUAUACGUUGAAAAGGGCAUGCUGAAGAGGCUGUGCCUGGAUGCUAACAACUCAGGAUUUCACUUCGCGGAGGGCCUCCUUAAAGCUCCUUUUUCAAUAGAAGACGUUGAAGGGAGGUCCUUCUUUGGGUGGCUGUCAAAUGCCUUCCUCAGAAGGAUCCGUUGGAUUCCAAGAAGGUCAACACCAUAGUAGACUACACAACGCAACAUUUCAGCCUACUUCCAGGGCAGCUGGAGAACUCGUCCUCCUUACUAGCCCGGGGAUAUUAAAUGGAUGUGUUCAAGCACAAA